UGGGCGGGACGGGUGAGUAUGUCUGGGAAACUGCCUGAGUGGAGGGGAUAACUACUGGAAACGGUAGCUAAUACCGCAUAACGUCGCAAGACCAAAGAGGGGGACCUUCGGGCCUCUUGCCAUCGGAUGUGCCCAGAUGGGAUUAGCUAGUAGGUGGGGUAACGGCUCACCUAGGCGACGAUCCCUAGCUGGUCUGAGAGGAUGACCAGCCACACUGGAACUGAGACACGGUCCAG
rnacentral:rRNA from 1 species